AUGGAUGAGCCAUAAGAAAGGAAAAAUGGGCAUGGGAUGAGCCUAUGGCUUAUGGAUGAGCCAUAGGCAGACAAUCUAUAGGUGUAUGGUGUAUGGGCUUUUAGGGAUUUAACGGGUGAUGGCUGGGUCGGUUAGCAUGGAAAUAUGGGCUUGGGAUGGUGUAUAUGUAAAGAGCAAUAUUGCUAACUUAAUUCUUUUAACUGUUUUUUGGAUUAUUUGGAAAGAAAGGAAUUCUAGAGCUUUUGAGGGUGUUGGGAGUAGUAUGUACAAAAUAAGGGAUAUGUGGAUUCAUUUUUUUGGGGCUGUUUUGUUAGAGUAUGACAUUAUUAGUGAUGAGAAUUUUGGGAAUGUCAUUGAUACGCUAACACUUACGUAAAUUGUCCAUGGUUGGUACUCCCUAUUUUUGGUACUAUGUUAAUAUAUACCUCACUUGUUUAUUUAAAAAAAGAAUGGCUUAUGGAUGAGCAAAAAGGAAAAAAGAUCAUAACUAGAUGUUGCAAGGAUAUGAAAAUUUUAGUAUGUUGUGGCAUUGUUAAAUUGCUGUCUUCAAAUUACUUUUGUGCUCCCUUUUCUUUUGUGGAUCUACU
rnacentral:lncRNA from 1 species